GAGCUCGGCCCCUGACGAGCCCGAACUCGUCAACUUCCUGUCGGUACUUGAAGAAGCGGAGCCAGGGCUGAGAUCCCGAAGGCGGGCGAGGUCUGGGAUGGGGCGGGGCCUAUGGGAGCGGGGCUGAAGCCCUGGGCCCGGCAGAGGAAGGUCGAGAUGGACCAUGUUGGGCCCCUUCUCUCCCCGCCCCCAGGCCGCAGUUCGGGGGCCACGCCCCGGCGUGCUCGGGUCACCGCGGGAAGCCCUUGAACCCCCUGGCGCCCGGCACCCACGUGCGGUAACCGCGGCUCCUCGAGAGCUCCAGGGAUGCGGAUCUACAGCCUUGGGGAUGAAGGUGAGAAAUUCGAGAAUCCCCGGAGAUAACACAUCAGCAAAUAGUGCGCAGGCAGAACAAGCUGUUGGAGGUGAGAGACACAGAGCAGAGAAGCACCCGCACCUGGAGAGUCAGGAGGGCCUCACAUCAGAACGCCUGAGCAAAUACAGUUUUGAAGGAUACUAAUUUUUUAAAAAGUUCAUUCACAUGAGUUAGACAAAGAGAAAGAAGCAGGACAUUCUAGGAAGAAGGAACGGCCCAGGCAAAAGCGACGCGUACAUUGGCGUGGGUCCAUUCAAGAAUUGUGCCCACAAUAUACCAGGCACUUGUCCAGACCUGCAUCGUCCAAUGCCCACCUCGACCUCCCAAAGUGUUGGGAUUAGAGGCGUGAGCCACCGCGCCCUGCCUGCAUGUGGCUAUUGAGAUGUGCUGUAUGAUACACACCGGACUUUGAAGACUCAGUGUGAAAAAUAAAAAGAAUUUUAAGAGGGGUGGGGGUCGAGGGGAGGCAGAGCAGUAGGACAAAUAGCUAAUGCACGCAGGGCUUAAAACCUAGACAACAGGUUGAUGGGUGCAGCAAACCACCAUGACACAUGUUUAUCUAUAUAGCACCUACAUGUUCUGCACUUGUAUCCUGGAACUUAAAAUUAGAAAAAAAAAAUAAUAAAAGCCAACAUGGCAUUCAUUACUGCCAAAAAAAUUAAAACACAUUGUUAAUUUUGUAUAUUGAUUACAGGUUGAACUGAUAAUAUUUUGAAUAUAUUGGGUUAAAGAAAUACAUUUAAAAUUAGUGGCUAGGCACAGUGGCUCAUGCCUGUAACCCCAGCACUUUGGGAGGCUGAGG
rnacentral:lncRNA from 1 species